GAGGGUACAGCUCAAUGGUAGAGUGUAUGCUUAGCAUGCAUGAGGUCCUGGGUUCAAUCCUCAGUACCUCA
rnacentral:tRNA from 1 species